rnacentral:rRNA from 1 species
UCGAGAAUCUUCCGCAAUGGACGAAAGUCUGACGGAGCGACGCCGCGUGGUUGAUGAAGUCCUUAGGGACGUAAAACCUUUUAUGAAGGAGAUGUUACUUCAUGAAUAAGGGGCUCCCAAUUCUGUGCCAGCAGGAGCGGUAAUACAGAAGCCCCAAGCAUUACCCGGAAUCACUGGGGUAAAGGGUGCGUAGGCGGUUAUAUUAGUCGGGUGUAAAUCCUGGGGCUCAACCUCAGAAUCGCAUUCGAAACGGUAUAACUAGAGAAGUGAGAGGUGUGCGGAACUCAAGGUGUAGGGGUGAAAUCCGUUGAUAUCUUGGGGAACACCAAAUGCGAAGGCAGCACACUGGCACUCUCUCGACGCUGAGGCACGAAAGCGUGGGUAGCGAAUGGGAUUAGAUACCCCGGUAGU